UACGUAGGGUGCGAGCGUUGUCCGGAAUUAUUGGGCGUAAAGGGCUCGUAGGCGGUCUGUCGCGUCGGGAGUGAAAACUCAGGGCUUAACCCUGAGCCUGCUUCCGAUACGGGCAGACUAGAGGUAUGCAGGGGAGAACGGAAUUCCUGGUGUAGCGGUGGAAUGCGCAGAUAUCAGGAGGAACACCGGUGGCGAAGGCGGUUCUCUGGGCAUUACCUGACGCUGAGGAGCGAAAGUGUGGGGAGGCGAACAGG
rnacentral:rRNA from 1 species